UGGAAGGCACGUCUGAUUGCAUGAAG
rnacentral:piRNA from 1 species